CUAACACGCAAAUUCACGUUUCGUAUCCAGUUUUCAGGUGAUUAAAACAUCUGAACUAAGCUGCAUGCCUUUUAUAAGGUUUGAUAUUUUCUCGCAGCGAUUUCGAGAAGCGAAAGCUUCGAAAAAUCAUGUUUGGUGGCGAUGGCGGAGGGGUUCCACGCGUACCCAUCCCGAACACGACCGUUAAGCCCUCCAGCGCCGAUGGUACUUGGACCGAAGGGUCCUGGGAGAGUAGGACGCCGCCAAGC
rnacentral:rRNA from 1 species